AGCUGCAUUUUGUGCUGAUGCAAACCCUCUCAUGAAGAAGCACUUGCUGCUGAAAUGAUCCUCUAGCCAGGAAUGCUGGAUGAGCAGCUGCCUGUGGACUGGUGCCAGUGCUGCACUAGAAACUGGAAAACAAGACAGGCUGGCCUGCUCCCACAUCUCCUCCAGGAGACAGAUGAAGAGAUGGACCCAUUCUCUACUGGCCACUGAUCUGGGGACUCAAGUCCACCUCCAAACUGCCGCUGAGAUCUGAAUUGACAAUGAUGGCCCCCCUGACUAAGCAUGAAUGGUACCAACUUAUGUUUCCUAUUUCUGUGGCAGGAUUUUGAUCAUUAGAGUCUAAAAUGUGAAUGCCAGCUCCGUAAGACACCAACUUUAACUCUGAAUGCAUUCCUAGGAGUGAAGUUCUGUGCAUUAUGCAGCAGGUCACAUAGUAACAUCACACAGUUCAAGUUUCUAGGCGAGGGAGAGAGAUAAAAUAAUUCUGCUGUAACACCACAAUGCAUACAUGAAUAAAUACAAUUCUAAAUUCAGUGAAAUAUUUUCCUUCCUCUGCUACUCCCACAGUUAAUGAAUACACUAGCAAUUAAUUACUGUGCUCAGCAACUCGCUUCAGCAAUUAUUUAAUUGAUUCACUUUUAGUCCCUGGCCUAGUAACCUUUCAGAGAAUUUUCAGAGGCCUGAAAUAAAAAGCAUAAAAAUAUAUGGGUUUGCUCAUUUUAAUAUUUGUAACUGUUACCGCUUGCAAACAUUGGCAACAAUGUACUGUUCUGUUUAUGCUCGUUGUAGUGUUUAAAGAGCACUAAUAUCAGGCACCUAUACAACUCAAAAUAAGUGGUCAUACUCAAUGUAGUAUACUUGUAUGUAAUACCUUAAAACUAAAAUACUAACCAAUAUCUGCUACCGCAUCUUCCUAAUUUUCAAUUAUUAGAGUUAGUAGAGAAAAAGGAUUAAAUCCUGGAUCCCCAAAGUCAAUGGGAAUUUUGCCAUUGACUCUAUUGGGACCAGGAUGUCACCCAAUGUCUGUUUUGUACAUUUCCUGGGGAUUAAGAAUUAAAACAACUGAAGUGGGGCUCA